UACGAAGGGGGCUAGCGUUGCUCGGAAUGACUGGGCGUAAAGGGCGCGUAGGCGGAGUGCUUUGUCGGGCGUGAAAAUCCAGGGCUCAACCUUGGGACUGCGUUCGAGACGGGCAUUCUAGAGUUCGGAAGAGGGUCGUGGAAUUCCCAGUGUAGAGGUGAAAUUCGUAGAUAUUGGGAAGAACACCGGUGGCGAAGGCGGCGACCUGGUCCGAUACUGAGGCUGAGGCGCGAAAGCGUGGGGAGCAAACAGG
rnacentral:rRNA from 1 species